AGUUCGGAUCGCAGUCUGCAACCCGGCUGCGUGAAGCUGGAAUCGCUAGUAAUCGCGGAUCAGAAUGCCGCGGUGAAUACGUUCCCGGGUCUUGUACACACCGCCCGUCACACCAUGGGAGCCGGAAACGCCCGAAGCCAGUGGCCUGACCGCAAGGAGGGAGCUGUCGAAGGCGGGUCCGGUGACCGGGGUGAAGUCGUAACAAGGUAUC
rnacentral:rRNA from 1 species